AGGAAAGAUAGUGUACGGAAUUCAUGUGUAUUAGUAUUCUUUGAUGAUUUUUUUCUAUGUACAGAGAAGGUUGCUCUUCUUAUUUCUUAACUAUAUUUCUGCAAUUUUGAAUGAGAGUUUUAAAGUGUUUAAUGUUUUGAGUACAGUGAUUUAGACUAUUGAAAUCUACAGUUGGUAAAUAUCAUGCUUCUUGCUUAUUUUAUUUUUAUUUUUAUUUUUUUUGAAGGUUGGAGUCAGGUGGAUUAGAUAAUAAUGUUGAGAUAGGUGAAGUCUGUCUCAGAUAGUCUGUCACAGUAAACUGAAAAGGAUGGUGCUACAUAUACUAUAAAAGGCGAAGAAAAGGCAGAUAG
rnacentral:lncRNA from 1 species